CCGCGCCGCCCGCCUGAGGCCCCCCGGCUCGCUGGGCUCCAGCUCCCAGGCCCCCAGUCCGCAGUCGCCGCGCUCGUAGGGAUGCAGCUCUCCGGGCUGCAGCUUACAGCGUCGUGACUCUCUUGCGCCAACCUCCCCGGAAUGCGGAUCCCCAGCUUGCGGCUCGCUGGAUCAGACUCGUCUGGUUGGCAGCUCGUAGGUUUGCGGCUCUGCUGCUUGUCGACACUGAGCGAACUCUUCGGAGACGCUUAGCUCGCCGGCUCGCAGACUUGGUGGGUGGAAGCUCUGAGGUGGAGGCUCGGAGGGUGACUUCUCACUGGUUUGUACCCAGACUGGCCCAGGCCCGCCUGGAUGCAUAUCGGUAUGUCAUAGUUCAGUGGUUGUCAGCUCACAGACUUGCAGCUACACACUGUCCUGUGUCACUGCUACCCAUGAGUCCUCCACCUCUGCGCUUCUAGCUGCUUUUAGCUGCCCUCCAAGCUCCAGGGACUUGGGCAAGAUUUCUGGGGGGCUAAAACUGGUGGCUGGAGAGAGGUAAGUAUUGGUGUUGUGGUAUCCUCACUGCCAGAGGAGUUGUAUGCCACAUAGAUUCCCAGCUUGCUGCAUCAAAGGUGAGUUUCAUGCUGAUUUAACACUCUUCAUGCUGUUGGCUGUCUGAUUGAUAUUUUUAAGAUGUCAGCAGUCAAACAAGCUCCCAAAAAUAUAGUCUUUUUUUUAAAAAAAAAAAAAAAAAAAAGGAUCAGAUUCUGCCGUGGGCUGCACAGUAGAGUAGGGGUUAGCACUUUUGCCUUGCAGCAAGAAGAUCCUGGUUCAAAUUCAGGCCUGGGAUCUUUCUGCAUGGAGUUUGCAUGUUCUCCCUGUGCAUGCGUGGGUUUCCUCCGGGUACUCCGGCUUCCUCCCACAGUCCAAAAAUAUGCUGAGGUUAAUUGAUAACUCUAAAUUGCCCGUAGGUAUGAAUGUGUAGGUGAUUGUUUGUCUGUAGCCUAUAUGUAGCCCUGCAACAGACUGGCGACCUGUCCAGGGUGUCCCCUGCCUUCGCCCGAGUCAGCUGGGAUAGGCUCCAGCACCCUCCGCGACCCUAGUGAGGAUAAAGCGGUGUAUAGACAAUGGAUGGAUGGAGAUUCUGCCGUGUUGUUUUCUUUGUUUUCUUUCAGGAGGGAUAUUGAAUGACUCCAGGACUGGAAAGAGGGCCCCAGUGUGACGACGAGGGACAGAAGCCACCAUAAGUGAACCCUGAGACCCAGAGACGAUAAGGAAGAGGAACGAUUUCAAACUUUUGUAGGACAAAGAGCCAGUGAGAGAAGCCCCAGGAUGAUCAAACAUGGAAGGAUCAGUCCGAGCUCAGCACAAACAGCAGGAUCUCUGUUGUGCUUCCUUCACCCCAACCGGUCGAGGCAGAUGGCCGCCCUCCCUGAGCCUGGUUCUGCCGGAGGUUUUUCCCUCCCUGCUAUCAGGGAGUUUUUUUCCUCCCCGCUGUCGCCUAGUGCUUGCUCAAAGGGAAUCCAAAGAAAACUGUGGAUUUGUUGGGUUCUGAUGAAACUAUACCAAAAAGAGAGAACUUAAAAUAAAAAGUCUGUGUUUCUUUUAAAGUUUUA